AUCCACUCCCCACCCUCCCCCCACACAGCCGCCGCCUCUUCCCUUCCCUCCUCAUCUCGAGCCCUUCCCAGCCGACGGAGGAGCCCCCAUCCCAAUCCCGCGUCGGAGUUCAGAGGCAGGGGAGGUGUGGAUCGAUGAUGGUGUAGCAAAGAAAAGGAUGGGAGAUCGAGGAGGGAGCGAGCCGUUGCAGAGGAGAUGGGAGAAGGGGGUGCGCGGUGGUGAGGCAUCGGCACCGGAGAAGCAGAUCAGCGGUGCGCGGUGAAGCGGGAUAGGUGACGCCGGCCGGCGCUUGCGGGUACGUCCUGCGGGAUGAGACCGCAGCUCCAGUCUUCUCCCCGCGGUGGUCCACGGCGCUAUCACUGUCGUCCUCAGCAGGAGGAGCGCGGGACGCAGAGGCGGCCGGCUCCGUCCUGCUCUUGUGCCAUCGUACCUCUGCCUUUCUCGUCUGCCGCGCCUCAGGCUAGCAGGUGGACGGCGUGGAGAGCUCUCGUCACAAGACACAGGAGGAUGGCUCUCGCCGACGCCGCGCACUGCUCCUCUCGCCUCUGUCGCGCUCUGCUCCGGCUCAUCCUCGCCGCGCUCUGCUCUGGCUUGUCGUCACCGCGCUCUGCUCCGGCUUGCCACCGAAAAGGUUGUGCUUUCGGUCCAAGGAGCCGAUGGGUCGCCGGAUCCGUCGGCCACCCCAUGGACUUCGCCUGGAACGCGGGCUGGGAGGUGGCGCCGCCAGCCUGCAACGCCAACCCCGACCCCGACCAACCCGGCGCCGCAGAAGGUGGAGGCGGAGUCCAUGAUGCUUGUCUCCGGGCCGCGCGUCGCCGUCUCCGGGCUGAGGCGAGCCGACGGCCGCGCGGGUCGUGCUCUCCGCCAUGUCAAGUUAUCGUCCUUCGCUGGUCUUGCCGUGGAUUAGGCUGUUGCGGUCCAUGAGUUGACAAGUGGAUUCAUAAAGUCGGAUUGAUAAGAAUCUGGAUAGGAAUCCUUGAGUUGGCUCGGAUUGAUAAGCACUAGGAAUGGUGCAGCCCCCAAAUCCUUGAGUUGGUUCAGAGUUAGCCUUGGCUGCUCCCCUGCUUGAAAAUGGCCCUGAUUUAGGUUUAGAGUUAACCUUUCUUAGGCUAUUUCACACGCUAUGACUGAAGUUUUUGUUCCCUGCUAAAAAGCCUUCAUUUUUGUUCCCUCCGAUCAGGUUCAUUUUUGUGUACUGCUCCCUGCGAAGAAACCUUCAUCUUAUACUGCUCCCUGUUCUUAUUACCCUUUCAGUGCCUACUCUCAUGAAGAUGAAUGUGUCAUGUUCGUCAAUGCCGGUGGGUAUAUCUGAAAUAACUGCAAAGGAAGCAGAAGACAAUGUGCUCCCGAGAGAGAUGGUAAGCAGUGCCAUCAAUCUUGACAAUUAAUUUGCUAGAAUUAUCGCAAGACUUGUCAAAACUGAAAAUUUUGACUGCAUCGGGUAAGAUUGACUGAAGAAAGCAACUAAAACUUCAGAGAAUAUAUUGUUGUUUAUAUAAACUGAAUACUGGUGUACUGUCAAUAUUCAGUAGCAGAAAUUAAGCUUCUGAGUAUAUUGUACUGUCAAUAUUCAGAAGUAGAAAUUCAGUGGUGUACCACUAAAACUGUGAUGGUUCCUCUUUGCUGUGCAAUGUUAACAUCAGAUUAUCCAAUGUUCCAUAUUUUAGCACAAUAUUCAAUACUCUUAUGUCCCGCACAAUGCACCGCACAAGGUCCCUGCUCCCUUCCCUGCUGCAGGUAGCACCCUCCCUUUUGUUCAGUUUCAGUAUGCAAGCGAACAUGUGCAGUUCAUGUGCACUGAUUCUCAAAACUGAAGCAUUUACAUGGCCAUGUUGGUUUCUUCAGUGAGGAGACGAGAGAGGAGAUUGCUGGAUCUGGAAAUGGAGGUCAGUACCACCUACAGGACAAGAGCGCCGCUCCUCUCCGACUCUUCAAGUCUCUCAUGCUCUGCUCUUUGCUCUGGCUGAAUUAGAAGGUUAGGUGUGACAAAAAAAACUGAAACUUUAUCUCCUAAUAUCCCUCCAUUUUUGCAAAAUCAAAUUUGUGUCAGCUAUGUGACCAAUGAUCAUACACUUGUUUCGAAUAAUCAUACGCUUAUCAAUUUCCACGGACAGGUUAAUGGUGUAUACCUGCUUCUGAGCUGCCAUGCAGAGACUCUGUUAUCUCUUGAAUUUAUCCACUGCCAACUUUAUCCUGCAGUCAUGGAUAAAGUUUGCAUUAGUCUUUGCCAGCCAGGUUCCCAAAACUACAAGUUCCAGUCCUUUUAUUCUGCCUUGGUCCUAAUGUUAAUUUUUCUGCCAUAUGUUAAAUUUUUUGUCAUAUGUAGGCCAACAGAUAACUUGUGUAUGUUCAUCUAGCUGCAAAAGAAACUUAUGACUUGUGCCGUCAGUAAAAAAAAUAGUAGAUAGUUGAAAGGACCAGGCACAGCCAUUUGCUUGCUGUGUUAUACUCUCAAUGAAUCUUAAUUAUUUCUAAUUUCAACAAAUGACAAGACUAAUCUGUCAUUCACAAUGUUUUUGCAGCUAGCAUUAAAAGCUGAUGUGUUUUAUAACAGAGUGACAAAUAUGACUAUUUGGGGUAACCAUUCAACAACUCAGGUUCCUAAUUUCUUGAAUGCCAAAAUUAAUGGGAGGCCAGUAAAAGAAGUCAUCAAAGAUACAAAGUGGCUAGAAGAGGAUUUUCCUAUAACUGUUCAAAAGGUACAUGGAGAAGGUGGUGGUGCCGCCGAGGCUGUUGCUCCCGGUGUUAGAGAGGGCGUUGCUGACCGAUGCCGCCGGCUUGCCCGAGGUGGCCUGCACGUCUUCAUGACCAGCCAUCUCCCCAGGUGAAUCCCUUCCCUUUAGGAAAAUCUAUCUAGCUAAUUUGUUUGUUAGGAUUGCAGAACGUGAAUCUUCCUUAGUCAUCACCAAAUUGACAUGCUCUGACUAACUGAAAAACAACAAAGUAUUGAAUGGUGCUACUCGAAUGGAGUAUGAAAUGAUUUAGUAAUCACUUGUAUGCAAAAAGAGGUGCACAAUUUGGUGUUGUGAGAAUUGAACUGGAACGGAAUUUUCAUGCCUAUGUUUUUUUCCAUGUCGACCUAUCUCCAGUCGUAUGCAGAUCCACAGUGGACCAAGCGGAAUUGGCACAUUUGCUAUACAGAUUGCAAAGCGCCUUGGAAUCAAGGUUUUUGUCACUGCAGGUUUAUUGGUUCAGAUAGAUACAGUAUAUAUGGUACAAAGUUGUUUUCUGGAAGCAACUCUGUUAUGCCGCUCUAGAAAGCCAAAGAGAAACUAACCGCUUGCGACGUUUAAGGUGUGGAUAUAUGCAGAAACUACAAAACCUUUGUAGCACGUAUCGAAGAAGAAACUAAUGGAAAUGGUAUUAUCCUGCCAUCCUCUUGUGACGCUUGAUGCCCUGAUGCAAAAGUAAAAUAAAAUUAUUUGGCUUUACCAAGUUAUACCCGUCAAUUUCAUAUACAUUCUAACUGUAAUAUGUGGAAUAUCUCUACAAGACCUUGAUGUCAUUCUGGACAACGUAGGCAGAUCUUAUCUCCAAGGCACUCUGGAUAGCUUAGCAGUUGAUGGUAGACUUUUCAUCGUUGGUUUCAUGUGAGGCGCUGUAAUUGAAGUGAACCUGCAGGCGAUGCUUGCCUGAAGACCGACUGUACAAGCAUCUCGCACAAUGUAUUCAGAGAGAUGCUGCCACUGGUGAUACAUCUGUGCGAAGCCAGAUCCAGAAUGAGUCGACAGAGUUGGGAGUAGCGAUACAACAUCUGGGGGCUAUGCUUUUUGAGCUUGGACGCUUAGAAUGGGGCCAUCUCCUGUAUACAUUUUUCUACUAUGUCACUAUCACACAAGUGAUUCACAAGGUUUAAGUAUUCUUAUAGCUUUUUUAUUUUGUAGGCUAAUGUUUUUGUAAAUGCUGGGCAUGCUGCUUAUACAAACCCCACUGGACCAAGUCCAAUCAUGGUUCAGGCUACCUGUAUAGCUUUGCUUUCCUAUCAUGAACUGCUGACAACUUUGUUUUGGGCUAUCAUGCUAGCAUGCACUGUAACAUAUAUCACUAUGUAUUAACAUGCUACCUAAGUAUCUAUUUCUUUAUACAUUAAGGAUCUUAUUAUCAGUCCUUAAACAAAUUUUGCGUGCAUGAUUUGAAUGCUUGGUUUGCUGUCGCCCUUUGCAACGGGUGGUUAGCUGCUUUUUUAUGUGUGAGAAUGUUAGGAAUGUUUCUAUAUGUGCCCAGAUUUAUUUGGUGUGCCUGCUAUGUUUCACUUUCACUGCUCUUUGUUGAAUAAAUUGAGAAAUUCUUGAUUCUUUUUAUGUUAUUUCUUUACAUGAAGGAUCCAGAUUAAAAUCUAAUGUGUUAUUCUUGCUGGCUUAGUUUAAACAAAUGCAUUUUAGAUCACCUACUUCUCAGUUCAUGAUUUUUGAUUCGGUGUGUUGCAACUGAUUACCGGAACACACUCACCCAAAGUGUCGAUCUACAUCCAUACAUAAUUUACUAAAAGAAUUUUUUUGAGUUGUUUCUGCAUAUGCCUCUUGGUAUUUACUAGGUCACCUUCGAGAUUCGUUAACUAACAUACAUAUCCUAUCUACGCUUUUCACAUCCAUAUAAUGAUGCCAUGUUUUUCCUUUUGAGUAGACGAUUCUUUAUUUAUUAACCUAUACACCAAUAUGUUGUUUCCAUUGAUCUCAUAGUACUUUUUGUGUGUUUCUUUAUCUUGGGCUGAAAACUUAUUGUCGGUUCAAGCUAUUUUUAAGUCAUGUAUACUAUGGAAGUUGUGUAAAAGAACGUUUACUGAAAUGUUAUGUAAAACCUAUGGCUCAAAGCUAAGCUUCGGUAAAUUGGAAUAUUUAUAGAUAUAUUUGGGAGUUUCAUUAGAUUAAUCUGGAAUUUCAAACUAAUCCAUUUAAUUAUUUGAGAGCACCAGCAACACAAUUUUUGAAAAAAAAAACAUGCCCACCAAACGAAGGGCAUGGCUAUGUUGUCCAUUUAUGCAAAUCUCUAGGAAGGAGAAACCCUCAAGAACUGCUAGGAAGGAGAAAGCCUUCCACGUCUCCGAGCCUGACUAUGCCUCCCUCGCGGCGAGGAUUGCUGUGUCCAACCUGCCGCCAAGUGGAAAUAGUCUGUGUGGCGCUCGUAAAUAGAGAGCAUUCUGGUAGAAAGGUACAGGAAAGAAUAGGGAAACUUCUGUCAUUUUCUUUGGUCUCUGAAAAAUAAAUGGUGAUAUGGGCUGAUACAUUGCUAAAUUACAUGAUACAAAGGCACUUCUCUUUUUUGAUUUUUGGUUUACUUCGUUGUGCUACAAUGGCUCUCUUAGGAAUGUCCUUCCAUGCUUUGAUGUGCACAAUCCAGAAAGUGCAUGCAUCCAGAAACCAAAUAGGAUUUUUUAUGUGUUAUCUUCUCAUAAAUCUUGUGCUCGUCCAAUAAGAAUAAGGUUUGGUGGUAUUGCUUUUGUCUGUCACCCGGUAGAUUUCAGACUUCAAGCUAGCUGCAGUUAUUUCAAGUUAUAUGUGCAAAUCCUUGGUGUGACAUGAUUGGUAACUGACCAUGAAUACGUUGCAAUCUGAUAUGUCUAAUUCUUGAUUUAUGUGGUACCAUGGUCUAAAAAUUGGUCCUAAAGAUACAUGAUGUUUUUGUACAAAGUUGAGACAAUUAUUUUUGAACGGAGGGAGUAUUAGAUUAUUUUGUUCCUUUUUAAUUUGGUUCUAAAGAUAUAGUUUCUGAGUGAUCAUUUUGCAUCAGCCAAGCUUGCCGUUGUUACAAAUAAUUGUUCUGUUGUCCUCAAUUCACUUUCUCGGUUUUUUAAUGCUACAAGCGUUAUUGUUCCAGUUUUUUUUAGUUAUUGAUCAUGCCAUUUUUCUUUCUGCCUUUGUAGCUGAAAGAUUAGUGAGACUGACUAAAUUCUGAACAUGUUCCAUGUGAGAGAAAUACAUGUUGAUUUCAUCUUGAAAUAAUCACAGCUGAGGGACGAGGUUCGUAACUGAGGGUCAUGUGCAGAGCUGGAGGAAGAAGUUGCGAGGCUUGGAACUCUCCUUGUGAAGGGCUCAGGGACAGCAGUGAGGACUAUGCCCUUUAGUUGUGAUUGUGAUACUCCUGAUGUGCAAGUAAACACUCCUGUGAUACUCCUUAUGCUACAAUGUUGAUUGUUAGUACAGAGGUGGUGACAUUAUUUGGUUCUUUGGUAUUGAUUUCAUGAUUUGUGGUUAAUACAUGACGUAAUACAAUCC
rnacentral:rRNA from 1 species